UCCCGGUUGUCUUCACUAUUU
rnacentral:miRNA from 1 species